AACGAACGCUGGCGGCAGGCCUCAAACAUGCAAGUCUAGGGGGUGUAGCAAUACAUCACCGGCGGACGGGUGCGUAACGCGUGGGAAUAUACCUAUUGGUUCGGAACAACACAGGGAAACUUGUGCUAAUACCGAAUGUGCCCUUACGGGGAAAGAUUUAUCGCCAAUGGAUUAGCCCGCGUCCGAUUAGCUAGUUGGUGAGGUAACGGCUCACCAAGGCUCCGAUCGGUAGCUGUUCUGAGAGGAAGAUCAGCCACAUUGGGACUGAGACACGGCCCAGACUCCUACGGGAGGCAGCAGUGGGGAAUUUUGGACAAUGGGCGCAAGCCUGAUCCAGCCAUGCCGCGUGAGUGAAGAAGGCC
rnacentral:rRNA from 1 species